GAUGUAAUGGGGACUAAUUACCUGCUUUGAUACUUAGCGGUAAUUAACUGCCUACACAUUAUUUUGUAAACUGGUUGUUCUUAUCCUAUCGAUUUACCUAUUUUUGUAUGUAGAAAAAGAUUAUUUUCUUAUUUUUAGGCAAUUAAUCAUGCGUUGAGAUGUAAGCAGAGAGAAAAAUUUAUCUUCCUCUGCAGUUAGGGAUAAUCUGUGGGGUGAAGACUGAGUUGGCUGUGCAGCCCAACAGCAACAUCCCUCAAAGACAGGGCAGCAUCUUGUACUCUUCUAUCCUCUCAAUGCUGGUUCCGUGAGCACAGGAGAUUAUAAAUCCAAGUGACAGAAAAUCUGCUGGCAAGUUGAGAGGAAGUCAUAAUGAAUCAGAAUGUAAUUAAAAAAAACUCUACUUGCUGAAUGACAAAUAACCAGGAAGCUCAAAAGCCUGGCUCACCCAACAACUGGACUCAAAGAAUACCAUCAUUCCACCCCAUUUCCUAGAAAUCUAAAUUAGAAGUGACUCAGGUAUUAGAAGAUUAACAGCUUGCCUAAAGAUAAGAGAAGAUAAAUUUUAAUUCCUGGCAUCCAUACAGCAUAAAGUGCCAGGCAUCAAGGAGAUUUCAACCAAAAGUUGAGUUAUGAGCCCUAUUUUAGUAGCCCCCAACAGCCUCUUCUAGACAAAAAUCAGUAUCUGAAGAUAGAAGUUAAAAAAAAUAUAAAGAAUAUGCUUAGCACGUCUGUUUUCAAAGACAAGUCUCCAAUUUGUUUUGUCUAGUAUUUGGUUCAUUAGAAGAUUUGAAAAGACAACAAAUAUCUUUUCUUUUGCUUUUGAGUCAACUUGAGUCUUUUACUUCUCUUUUUACUCAUCCUUCCAAAUGUUAACCUUCAUAUUUGCGCAGAAGAAUGAAGAUAACUCAAAAGGCCUCUGAAAGAGACUCUACCACAGGGAUAACAGACACUUCUUCCUUCCAUACUCACUACUGUAUCCAGACUGAAGUAGGGCUGGCAAAGAAAUCCUGGAACCAAUAGCAUGCUAUCGUAACUCUGUCUCUUGAUGCAUGAAUCAAUG